rnacentral:lncRNA from 1 species
GGGAUCUCCAAAACAGCCUAGGGGCUUUGAAUGUGGCUAUGUUGUGAUGCGGUAUAUGAAAGACAUUACUGAAGAUGAGGGUCUUUCUUUUGUUGAUAAGGUCAUAAUUUGUUUCUUUUCGUAACUGGGGGUUGUGGCCAGAAAUUACUGAGUGAAGGCCAUAUAUUUUGAAAUGCUUGUGACUGGAAUGUAACUUUCUGUUGUUAUUUGUAGUGGUCAGAGAGGAGUCGUGUAUCUUACGACGAGGAAGAGCUCGAGGAGGUUCGGUGCGAGGUCCUGGAAUUUAUUCAAUCUCAUGUUUAAUAUAUGGUUGGGGUAUACUUUGCUAAUUAGUAAUCAGAUUUGGUUAUCAAGUGUAUAUUCUAGAAUUUGGCUAAAUUAAG